rnacentral:rRNA from 1 species
UGCCAGCCGCCGCGGUAAUACGGAGGGGGCUAGCGUUGUUCGGAAUUACUGGGCGUAAAGCGCGCGUAGGCGGUUCGGCAAGUUAGGUGUGAAAGCCCGGGGCUCAACCCCGGAACUGCACUUAAAACUGCUGGGCUAGAGGCCGAGAGAGGUGAGUGGAAUUCCCAGUGUAGAGGUGAAAUUCGUAGAUAUUGGGAAGAACACCAGUGGCGAAGGCGACUACCUGGACCGAUAUUGACACUGAGGUGCGAAAGCGUGGGGAGCAAACAGGAUUAGAUA